ACGGUGAGGGAUGAAAGCUGGGGGAGCAAACCGGAUUAGAUACCCGGGUAGUCCCAGCCGUAAACGAUGCUCGCUAGGUGUCAGGUGCGGUGCGACCACAUCUGGUGCCGCAGUGAAAACUUGAAGCGAGUCACCUGGGAAGUACGGUCGCAAGGCUGAAACUUAAAGGAAUUGGCGGGGGAGCACUACAACGGGUGGAGCCUGCGGUUCAAUUGGAGUCAACGCCGA
rnacentral:rRNA from 1 species